rnacentral:rRNA from 1 species
GGGAACCGCCUGAACUGAAACAUCUAAGUAGGGCGAGGAAGAGACAUCAAACGAGAUUCCGUAAGUAGUGGCGAGCGAACGCGGAAGAGGGCAAACCGGGAGUAGAAAUACUUCCGGGGUACGGACUGCUUUUAGGACUCAAUCUGUUAACCGAACGGCAUGGGAAGGCCGGUCAGAGAGUGUGAGAACCACGUAGGUGAAAACGGAGAGAGCUGCGCAGGAUCCAGAGUACGGCCAGACACGUGAAACCUGGUCGGAAUACGGGGGGACCACCCUCCAACCCUAAAUACUACCCAGUGACCGAUAGCGUAUAGUACUGUGAAGGAAAGGUGAAAAGCACCCCGGGAGGGGAGUGAAAAAGAACCUGAAACCCUGUGCCUACAAGCACCUAGAGCACGUCAAUGUGUGAUAGGGUACUUUUUGUAGAACGGUCCGGCGAGCGAUUGUAUGCAGCAAGGUUAAGGACUUAAGGUCUGGAGCCGAAGCGAAAGCGAGUUUGAAAAGGGCGUUAAGUUGCAUACAAUGGGCCCGAAACCGGGUGACCUACCCAUGGUCAGGUUGAAGUGGAAGUAAAAUUCCAUGGAGGACCGAACCGACCUCCGUUGAAAAGGCGGCGGAUGAACUGUGGGUAGCGGAGAAAUUCCAAUCGAACCCGGAGAUAGCUGGUUCUCCCCGAAAUAGUUUUAGGACUAGCCUCAAGUUAGAUACCUGGAGGUAAAGCACUGAAUAGCCUAGCGGCCGAGAGGUUAGCGAAGCUUAUCAAACUCAGAAUGCCAGAGUAUUGAUGCUUGGGAGUCAGACAGUGUCAGAUAAAUGUCAUUGUCAAAAGGGAAACAGCCCAGAUCUACAGCUAAGGUCCCAAAGUCAGGUUAAGUGGAAAACGAUGUGAAGAUACGUAGACAACCAGGAUGUUGGCUCAGAAGCAGCCACACAUUCAAAGAGUGCGUAAUAGCUCACUGGUCGAGCGUCUUUGCGCGGAGAAUUUAACGGGGCUAAACCUGACACCGAAGCUUAGGCAAUACAGCAAUGUAUUGGGUAGGGGAGCGUUGUAUACGCGGUGAAACAGUAGCGCAAGCGGCUGUGGAGUGUAUAGAAGUGAGAAUGCCGGAAUGAGUAGCGCGAAUGCAGUGAGAAUCUGCAUGGCCGAAAGCCUCAGGUUUCUGGAGGAAGGUUCGUCCGCUCCAGGUUAGUCGGGAGCUAAGGUGAGGCCUAACGGCGUAGCCGAUGCACAGACGGUAGAGAUUCCGUCACCACCAAAAGAGUUAAACACAGGGACACAUUUGAAGUCUCGGAGCCGGGUGUUGGUUCCGGUAGCGAUCGAGGGAAGUUAGUACCGAAGUCCGGGAUGGAAGAUGGCGAGAAAAGCUGUGUGUAUUUCUGCGGUGCCCGUACCGCAAACCGACACAGGUAGGUAGGAAGAAGAUUCUAAGGCCAACGGGAGAAGGGUUGUUAAGGAACUCGGCAAAUUGACCCCGUAACUUCGGGAGAAGGGGUGCUCCAGAGAUGGAGCCGCAGAGAAUCGGCCCAAGCAACUGUUUACCAAAAACACAGGUUUGUGCUAAAUCGAAAGAUGACGUAUACGAGCUGACGCCUGCCCGGUGCUGGAAGGUUAAGAGGAGAUGUGCAAGCAUUGAAUCGAAGCCCCAGUGAACGGCGGCCGUAACUAUAACGGUCCUAAGGUAGCGAAAUUCCUUGUCAGGUAAGUUCUGACCCGCAUGAAAGGCGUAAUGAUUUGGGCACUGUCUCAACAGCCCGCCCGGCGAAAUUGUAGUACCGGUGAAGAUGCCGGUUACCCGCGACAAGACGGAAAGACCCCAUGGAGCUUUACUGUAGCCUAAUAUUGGGUUUCGAUGUUGCAUGCACAGGAUAGAUGGGACACAGGGAAACAAGUGCUUUGGCAUUUGUGGAGUGGCCGUUGGGAUACCAUCCUUGCGAUAUUGGAAUUCUAACCUGCGCCUUUGAAUCAAGGCGGGGGACAUUGUUAGGUGGGCAGUUUGACUGGGGCGGUCGCCUCCUAAAGAGUAACGGAGGCGUUCAAAGGUUCGCUCAGCUUGAACGGAAAUCAAGCAAAAGAGUGCAAACGCAGAAGCGAGCCUAACUGCGAGACUGACGGGUCGAGCAGUAACGAAAGUUGGAGUUAGUGAUCCGGUGGUAUGUGAGUGGAAAUGCCAUCGCUCAACGGAUAAAAGUUACCCUGGGGAUAACAGGCUGAUCUCCCCCAAGAGUCCACAUCGACGGGGAGGUUUGGCACCUCGAUGUCGGCUCA